GGGCAGGUGGCAGAGCGGCCGAAUGCACCGGUUUCGAAAGCCGGCGAACCGAGAGGUUCCGCGAGUUCGAAUCUCGCCCUGCCCGCCA
rnacentral:tRNA from 2 species